AUUGAACGCUGGCGGCAGGCCUAACACAUGCAAGUCGAACGGUAACAGGAAGCAGCUUGCUGCUUCGCUGACGAGUGGCGGACGGGUGAGUAAUGUCUGGGAAACUGCCUGAUGGAGGGGGACAACUACUGGAAACGGUAGCUAAUACCGCAUAACGUCGCAAGACCAAAGAGGGGGACCUUAGGGCCUCUUGCCAUCGGAUGUGCCCAGAUGGGAUUAGCUAGUAGGUGGGGUAACGGCUCACCUAGGCGACGAUCCCUAGCUGGUCUGAGAGGAUGACCAGCCACACUGGAACUGAGACACGGUCCAGACUCCUACGGGAGGCAGCAGUGGGGAAUAUUGCACAAUGGGCGCAAGCCUGAUGCAGCCAUGCCGCGUGUAUGAAGAAGGCCUUCGGGUUGUAAAGUACUUUCAGCGGGGAGGAAGGGAGUAAAGUUAAUACCUUUGCUCAUUGACGUUACCCGCAGAAGAAGCACCGGCUAACUCCGU
rnacentral:rRNA from 1 species